GUGCCAGCCGCCGCGGUAAUACGUAGGUGGCAAGCGUUAUCCGGAAUUAUUGGGCGUAAAGCGCGCGCAGGUGGUUUCUUAAGUCUGAUGUGAAAGCCCACGGCUCAACCGUGGAGGGUCAUUGGAAACUGGGAGACUUGAGUGCAGAAGAGGAAAGUGGAAUUCCAUGUGUAGCGGUGAAAUGCGUAGAGAUAUGGAGGAACACCAGUGGCGAAGGCGACUUUCUGGUCUGUAACUGACACUGAGGCGCGAAAGCGUGGGGAGCAAACAGGAUUAGAUACCCCGGUAGUCCA
rnacentral:rRNA from 1 species